AUGCGCCUUGAAGUCUAGCGGGAGAUCUAACUUGUACGCCAGCUUUCCCAUCCUCUUGACCACAUUAAAUGGCCCUUCAUACUUUCUGACCCGUGCUCGUUGUCGCCCACGGAAGACGCCUUUGUUCUUUAGCUUCCACACGGGAGUAGACAUCUUCAAUACUAAAUGCUUCUUUAGAAUUAAGAAUUUGACUCCUUACAUUUUCGAAUUCAUCGUUCAGUCCUGCUAAGAAUAGGAAUAUCAUAUUCUCCCAUUCUUCAGCCACAUAAUGCAUCUGGUCUUGGGGACUUUAAGAUUACAUAAAUAUCUGUGACCGAGAGAUCCCCUUGCCGAAGAGCAUACACAUCCUUCAUCAGUUGAUACACUCGAAUCUUCAUCUUCUUCUGGUCAUACAUUUGUUCCAAAAUAAUCCACAUAUCUCUCGCAGUCUUCUUACGAAGAAUGAGAGGUUGAAUAUCAGAAGAUACAGAUAGAGAAUUGACAAUCCAAGUUUUUAUUUGGUUGUCUUCAAGGAACCAAGUAUCCCAAGCCGCACUAGUCGCAACAGGUUCAACCUUUCUCCCAUUCAGAUAGGCAAUACGGCCUCGACCAGCAAUCGCCAUGGUGAUGGCAGCGGACCAUUGAAGGUAAUUUUUCUUGGUGAGCCGAAUGGUAGUAACAUGAACGGGGAAAGUCGAUGAAAAGCGUGAUCAGUAUUGACUGUAGAGGAAGAAGAAUCAGCCAUGGUCACCAACUAAUACCGACGGCAACCCUGAACGAUGAAACCACAAAUCUGUUGCAGCCGGAAUCGGUGGCAACAAUGGAAGCGGCGGCGACGGUGGAACAAGGGCAGUGAGCAAUGGAACGGUUAGGGCCAGAACUUCACGGCCGGCAAAAAAUUUCACAAACUAAACCUGACUCUGAUACCAUGUAGAAACAAUAGAAACACGAGAAAUAAAGAUCGUACACGGAUGUAACGUGGAAAACCCUCAACGAGAGGGAAAAACCACGGGUGAGGAGGUCUGGUGCCCACUAGCCGCCAGACUCUCUCUCUCUUAGAACUUCAUUAACACCAGAAAUUAGGGUUACACGUCUUUAAGCCCAACAAGGGCUACAAGCUGAAUCGGGUCUAGAUCCAGACCCGGUCCCAAGACCCAUCUUUACAUGCUUCAACAAGACGUUUACUGCAACAACUAACAGAAAUCCUCUAGACCUGACGUAUAUUUCAUGAAGAAAAUUUCAGAUAUAAAAUGACUGAACUAACAUCGUCAACAACAUGUGAGGGCUGCACUAGAGGACUUGUUUACCCAAUUUGGACUUGUUUGAAAGACUUCAGAUCUUCCGUGACUUAGAAAUCUUCUUCUAGCUCACCAAUUGCGAUCCAUGAUCAUUGACAACAACAACUCGGAAUAGACAAGUAUGCUCCAUGCUCCAUAACCUUCACCAGCAAUCAGAUCCCUGAUCAUCCACCAAUGGCUACUUCCUUGCAGAAAUCAGAUGUAUACCUAGAAAAAAAAUAGAAAGUAAAGAAGGAAGAGGGGAAGAAGUGAGGAAGAAGAAAAAGAAGUAGAAGACCUGGUGGUGUCAGGCCAAGGUGGGUUUGUCAGCUCUGAAAGGGAAUUGAUCUUCAUUCGCCCUAAUUCCAUAUUAAUGAGGAUUAGGGGCAGCUAAACAAAAUUACAAUAAAGGUCCACAAAAGAAAUAAAAUAACAAGGAUAACUCCUGUUUACACUCAUUUGCUGAUAAUGAAUUAUGGCAAAGACUUCAACAGAGUGAAUGUAUGCUGGGUUCAUCAAUGCAUUCAAAUGUGGCAAAUGAUAGACCUGCUCAACUUCAAUUAGAUGAUAAUCCACUAGAAUGCAUAGUAGUUGUUUAACUAGUCAUAUGUUGUCGUUGAAACUGUGUAAUAUUUAGGUUUUUUACUAGAGAAUGGAGGUUCUUAUCAUCAUUCAUCAAUAAAGCGAAACUAGGAAGGGGGAAUAGCCUUAUGAUUUCACUAGAAAAAGCUUAGUAGGAGUAGGGUUAUCUGCUGCAAGUAGUGGCAAUCUAUUGCUUACAUCCAGAAUAAAAUAUUUGUUUGGGAAUAGGAACCUGUUAACUAUAGAUUCAGCUAUUUUUACCUUUACUAGUAGCCUGUGGGUGCAAGUCUUCAGUUGAGUUCACGUGGAAAAAUCUCAAAUAUCCUGUCUCCAUGGUCACUGAUGGUACAUUUUUGCAGGUCUCACUGACAGGUACAUAUGCAAUAGAUAGUGGUGUGAUCUUAUGCUUUCUCUACUUUGAAUAAUUUUGCAAAUGUUUGAGCUUUUUGGUCACUCAUUUCAUAUUUUAUGUUGUUGCAGAAAAACAUGUUCAUAUUUAAUCAUUAUUUCAUUUAUCAGGUGCCCUUACCAUAUAAUCAACACAAUGUCAAGAUUAGUUAAAGUGCAUAAAGGAACAGAAAAAUUACCAUAUAAUCAACAGGAUGUGAAAAUUACUUAAAGUGCAUAAAAGAACACAAAAAGCAAUGCUUGGAUGUUGACUGAAGUAAAAAUGCUCAUAUUUAAUAUGCUAAGAUAAAGAUUUCGUUGCCAUAUGUAAAUUAAAUUGUGUUGUAAAUUAUAGCUGAAAUAUGUGACCCAUUUUUUUUCCUGGAUUGGUAUUUUAUUUCCAAUUUCAAGGAUCUAAAUUGAUGCUGCGAUAAAGCUUGCACUUCCUAUAGCUUUUUUUUUUUCGGUCCUUUCUGUUGACCCUUUUUCCUUUAAAAUAAAUACUUGGUGUUUACCUUGACCUUUUUAUUUCUUGGUUUUAUCUAUAGUUCUUGACAGACAUAAUAAGGACGUCAUGUGUUCGUUCAUGAUUUGUUUGUUUGAAUCCUACAUGAUUUUCCACAUGUUUGAACCCAUAUGUAAUGGUGGAUUCAAUGGAUUGUGUUCAACUUAUAUGGCAAUUAUGAAAUAUACUAGCACUUUGAGUAUGUCAGGGAGGUGCAACAGGUAUGCUUUUGUAGGCUGUGCUUAUUGUUGCUGUUGUUGUAUACUGGAUCGAUUCAUUGUCACUUCAAACUCCCAUGUUGCUCUAUAUUUCUAUUUCAAGCUAGCUUUCUGGAUAUGGGGCUAAAACUAGUUCGAUUGUUUUGACUCAAAUCACUGUAUAUGUGUGAAUCUGAGACUUUCCCAUUUUGCUAUCGUUAAGCUUCCACAGGAAAUCAAAGCUUGAGAGAUUUUGGCAAAUAGUGGCAAUGUUUAAAGCCACAUUUGAUGUGCUCUCUCUCCCCAUCUACCACAGGUGAUCAGGCAGACCUUUUGGAGUGUUGGUGUCAUUCGGUUUCAACUUAUAACAUAAAGGCCUCCUUUUCUAGGAGCAACCAGGAAUAGGAAGCGCGUGCUUUAUUGGGAUGGCUGAGUACCAGAGGUAACUAUGCUGCUCCUCUCCAGGUGUUCCGUGGGAUUGAUAUACAGAGUUUGAUACCCAAGAUGACUAAAUCUAUAGCUGAUAGGGUCCAGCGUCAAAAAGCUCGAUUUAAAAGCCAGAAGGUGCAAAAAAAAUACAAUGUCUAUGCAUUCUGUGAGUCUCUUGCUUGAAGCUAUCUUACUUAAAGCAAGAUCACUGGAACAGCUUGGUUUAAGAAAAGUCAAGUUUUCUGAAAGCAGACAGAACUUGAUCAAGAACUUUGAACAUUCUCUUUCCUUGGUUGAUUGGAACUAUUAUCCAAUUACACAGUUUAUACAGCAGUAACAGCACUAUAACACCAAGGGAAUAAUGUUGGGACUGUCAUUGACAGAUCUCACAGAACCAAGAAGAUUCCUCAACGUUGACAGGCCGUUGUUAUUAUGUCACAGACAUCACAGAAUAUGAAAAAACAGACUGUGAUACUGAAACUUGUGAUUCUCAAUGACAUGCGUGAUCUCCAUAUGCUGAUGAAGCACAGGUUGUGAUUCUUUAGCCCUUUGAAAGGCAAAAGAAUAAUGGUUUUACAGCUUUUUGGGCAAGAGGAUGAUAGUGGCUACAUGGUGGUUCUGUUGGUUUCGCUUUUCUUUUCCAUUAUUGUUUUUAAUGUUGUAGAAUCAUCCUAUUAAGUGUUUGGUGUGUGGUCACACCAUGAUGAAGACUAUUCUAGGAGGCGAAUUAUUAAAAAAUUACUUGCAAGCAGCGGGAAACUUGUAAAAGCACGUAGGCAGUAGUCAGGACAAGAAAUGCCUGUGGGGACAAAUUACUGCCAAAAAGAAAUUAAAAUGUGUUCAUUUUGUUUUAAGAAGGAUUUCAAGUUCUUUUAUCUUCA